rnacentral:rRNA from 1 species
AUGGGGUGACUGCGUACCUUUUGUAUAAUGGGUCAGCGACUUAUAUUCUGUAGCAAGGUUAACCGAAUAGGGGAGCCGAAGGGAAACCGAGUCUUAACUGGGCGUUAAGUUGCAGGGUAUAGACCCGAAACCCGGUGAUCUAGCCAUGGGCAGGUUGAAGGUUGGGUAACACUAACUGGAGGACCGAACCGACUAAUGUUGAAAAAUUAGCGGAUGACUUGUGGCUGGGGGUGAAAGGCCAAUCAAACCGGGAGAUAGCUGGUUCUCCCCGAAAGCUAUUUAGGUAGCGCCUCGUGAAUUCAUCUCCGGGGGUAGAGCACUGUUUCGGCAAGGGGGUCAUCCCGACUUACCAACCCGAUGCAAACUGCGAAUACCGGAGAAUGUUAUCACGGGAGACACACGGCGGGUGCUAACGUCCGUCGUGAAGAGGGAAACAACCCAGACCGCCAGCUAAGGUCCCAAAGUCAUGGUUAAGUGGGAAACGAUGUGGGAAGGCCCAGACAGCCAGGAUGUUGGCUUAGAAGCAGCCAUCAUUUAAAGAAAGCGUAAUAGCUCACUGGUCGAGUCGGCCUGCGCGGAAGAUGUAACGGGGCUAAACCAUGCACCGAAGCUGCGGCAGCGACACUAUGUGUUGUUGGGUAGGGGAGCGUUCUGUAAGCCUGUGAAGGUGGCCUGUGAGGGUUGCUGGAGGUAUCAGAAGUGCGAAUGCUGACAUAAGUAACGAUAAAGCGGGUGAAAAGCCCGCUCGCCGGAAGACCAAGGGUUCCUGUCCAACGUUAAUCGGGGCAGGGUGAGUCGACCCCUAAGGCGAGGCCGAAAGGCGUAGUCGAUGGGAAACAGGUUAAUAUUCCUGUACUUGGUGUUACUGCGAAGGGGGGACGGAGAAGGCUAUGUUGGCCGGGCGACGGUUGUCCCGGUUUAAGCGUGUAGGCUGGUUUUCCAGGCAAAUCCGGAAAACCAAGGCUGAGGCGUGAUGACGAGGCACUACGGUGCUGAAGCGACAAAUGCCCUGCUUCCAGGAAAAGCCUCUAAGCAUCAGGUAACAUCAAAUCGUACCCCAAACCGACACAGGUGGUCAGGUAGAGAAUACCAAGGCGCUUGAGAGAACUCGGGUGAAGGAACUAGGCAAAAUGGUGCCGUAACUUCGGGAGAAGGCACGCUGAUAUGUAGGUGAAGCGACUUGCUCGUGGAGCUGAAAUCAGUCGAAGAUACCAGCUGGCUGCAACUGUUUAUUAAAAACACAGCACUGUGCAAACACGAAAGUGGACGUAUACGGUGUGACGCCUGCCCGGUGCCG